rnacentral:RNase_P_RNA from 1 species
GUGGGCCGGUCUGUCGCCUGCACCCUUGCGUGCAUGAGGAAAGUCCGGGCAACACAGAGCAUUCCACUUCCUAACAGAAAGUUGUUCGUGAGGGCAAAGUAACGCAGAAGAAAAUAACCGCCGUUGCCUCGUACAGCGGUAAGGGUGAGAAGGUGGGGUAAGAGCCCACCGGCUCUGUAGUGAUGCAGAGGCCGUGCGUCUUGGAAGUUGUAAGGUCAUGUAAACCGCGCGUUAUGAGGGUUGCUCGCCCAAGCCGGAGGGUGGACCGCUAAAGCAGUAUGGUGACAUGCUACUCAGAUAAAUGACAGACACCUUCUCCUUCGUGAGGAGGUACAGAACCCGGCUUACAGGCCCUCUG